AGGAUGAACGCUGGCGGCGUGCCUAACACAUGCAAGUCGAACGUCCUGUCUCGCAAGAGGCAGGGAGUGGCGGACGGGUGAGUACCACGUGGGUCAUCUACCGUGAGGUGAGGAAUACCGGCGAGAAAUCGCCGACAAGACCGCAUAGGCUCGAUGCAAGUCGAGCAAAGCUCUUUCGAGAGAGGGAGCGCCACACGAGGAGCCUGCGCCCGAUUAGCUAGCUGGUGGAGUAACGGUUCACCAGGGCGACGAUCGGUAGCUGGUCUGAGAGGACGAUCAGCCACACUGGGAUUGAGAACGGCCCAGACUCCUACGGGGGGCAGCAGUGAGGAAUUUUCGUCAAUGGGGGCAACCCUGAACGAGCAACGCCGCGUGCAAGAAGAAGGUUUCGGAUCGUAAACUGCUUUUCUCGGGGAAGAGAACGGACGGUACCCGAGGAAUCAGCCCCGGCUAACGUACGCGCCAGCAGCCGCGGU
rnacentral:rRNA from 1 species